ACAUGCCUACAACAUAGCGUUAAUGCAUCGGAUCCCAUUAGAGCUCUGAAGUUAAGUGUGCUCAGGCUAGAGUAGUACUGGGAUGGAAGACCACCUGGGAAGUCCUAGUGUUUUACAUGCC
rnacentral:rRNA from 1 species